rnacentral:rRNA from 1 species
CUGGGNGACUAGAGUGUGUCAGAGGGAGGUAGAAUUCCACGUGUAGCAGUGAAAUGCGUAGAGAUGUGGAGGAAUACCGAUGGCGAAGGCAGCCUCCUGGGAUAACACUGACGUUCAUGCCCGAAAGCGUGGGUAGCAAACAGGAUUAGAUACCCUGGUAGUCCACGCCCUAAACGAUGUCGAUUAGCUGUUGGGCAGCANGACUGCUUAGUAGCGAAGCUAACGCGUGAAAUCGACCGCCUGGGGAGUACGGUCGCAAGAUUAAAACUCAAAGGAAUUGACGGGGACCCGCACAAGCGGUGGAUGAUGUGGAUUAAUUCGAUGCAACGCGAAGAACCUUACCUGGUCUUGACAUGUACGGAACCCUCCAGAGACGGAGGGGUGCCUUCGGGAGCCGUAACACAGGUGCUGCAUGGCUGUCGUCAGCUCGUGUCGUGAGAUGUUGGGUUAAGUCCCGCAACGAGCGCAACCCUUGUCAUUAGUUGCCAUCAUUAAGUUGGGCACUCUAAUGAGACUGCCGGUGACAAGCCGGAGGAAGGUGGGGAUGACGUCAAGUCCUCAUGGCCCUUAUGACCAGGGCUUCACACGUCAUACAAUGGUCGGUACAGAGGGUAGCCAAGCCGCGAGGUGGAGCCAAUCUCACAAAACCGAUNGUAGUCCGGAUUGCACUCUGCAACUCGAGUGCAUGAAGUCGGAAUC